GAUGAACGCUGGCGGCGUGCCUAAUACAUGCAAGUCGAGCGAACAGACGAUGAGCUUGCUCCUCUGACGUUAGCGGCGGACGUGUGAGUAACACGUGGAUAACCUACCUAUAAGACUGGGAUAACUUCGGGAAACCGGAGCUAAUACCGGAUAAUAUAUUGAUCCGCAUGGUUCAAUAGUUAAAGACGGUUUUGCUGUCACUUAUAGAUGGAUCCGCGCCGCAUUAGCUAGUUGGUAAGGUAACGGCUUACCAAGGCAACGAUGCGUAGCCGACCUGAGAGAGUGAUCGGCCACACUAGAACUGAGACACGGUCCAGACUACUACGGGAGGCAGCAGUAGGGAAUCUUCCGCAAUGGGCGAAAGCUUGACGGAGCAACGCCGCGUGAGUGAUGAAGGUCUUCGGAUCGUAAAACUCUGUUAUUAGGGAAGAACAAAUGUGUAAGUAACUAUGCACGUCUUGACGGUACCUAAUCAGAAAGCCACGGCUAACUACGUG
rnacentral:rRNA from 1 species